CCUACGGGGGGGCAGCAGUCGAGAAUUUUUCACAAUGGGCGAAAGCCUGACGGAGCGACGCCGCGUGGAGGAGGAAGGCCUUCGGGUUGGUAAACUCCUCGUCACCG
rnacentral:rRNA from 1 species